rnacentral:RNase_P_RNA from 1 species
CAAGUCGGCCAGGCGGUCGCGUCCCCUCCUUUCAUCCCCCCAGUGGGGGAAAGAGGGGGGCGAGGAAAGUCCGGGCUCCACAGGGCACGGUGCUGGAUAACAUCCAGGCGGGGUGACCCGACGGAAAAGGGCCACAGAAAAGCAGACCGCCCCCUCCCGCUGGGGAGGGGGUAAGGGUGAAAAGGUGGUGUAAGAGACCACCGGCGUCCGUGGUGACACGGGCGGCCAGGCAACCCCCACCGGGAGCAAGGCCAAGCAGGAGCGAGGGGCGGCCCGUCCCAUUCGAGCUCCGGGUAGGCCGCUAGAGACGGCGGGCAACCGCCGUCCCAGAUAGAUGACCGCCCACGACAGAACCCGGCUUAUCGGCCGACUUGGACG